rnacentral:rRNA from 1 species
AACGUAGGACACAAGCGUUAUCCGGAGUUACUGGGCGUAAAGGGCUCGUAGGCGGCCAACUAAGUCAGACGUGAAAUCCCUCAGCUUAACUGGGGAACUGCGUCUGAUACUGGAUGGUUUGGAUCCGGGAGAGGGAUGCGGAAUUCCAGGUGUAGCGGUGAAAUGCGUAGAUAUCUGGAGGAACACCGGUGGCGAAGGCGGCAUCCUGGACCGGUAUUGACGCUGAGGAGCGAAAGCGUGGGGAUCAAACAGG